rnacentral:tRNA from 1 species
UACGGUUGCCGGGAAUCGAACCCGGGUCACGUCCGUGGCAGGGACGCAUUCUACCAUGAUCCAGUAUUGAUUCCUUCUAGACCACAACCGU